rnacentral:lncRNA from 1 species
CAAGAGAAUUUAAAAGAACCAUCAAUCCUCUCUAAAAGGCCUAAUCAGUUACAUAAAAAAAGAAAGAAGAGAGGAGACGAGAGAAGAAAAGAGAAGACAAGAGAAGAGAAGAGAAGAGAAGAGAAGAGAAGAGAAAAGAAAGGAAAAGAAAAGAAAACAAAAGAAAGGAAAUUACCACGAAACCAGUCCUGGAAAAUGUAAAAUGUUACUUGCAUCAUCAUGUGAAAAAGCUCAAAAGAUGGAAAAAUAUUUUCUAAGUACAUUUAUUUGGACAUAACAUAAGUAUCUUCCAACAUAUUUUAGCGAUGGAAGAUGUGGUGAAUUGAAAAGAUGAGUUCAGCUCUACAUAUGCUUUAUGGUCACAAGUUGCCACUUUUAAAACAUUUAUAUACUCUUAUGCAUAUCAUAUAACUGAACAUGAAUGUUAGCAUCUAAGUAUAUGUAUCUGAUGAAAAUGCCAGAGUUAUAAAAUCUUUUUUAUGUUUUUUUAAUCACAAAAAUAUCAAAAUGCACCUUGGUUUUAGGGAAUAAUUUUCUAUCACUGGUCCUGAGAACCUCUAAAAUUAUGGAACAAUCGUUCCAGACUCUCAAUACCAUUAAGUUCAAUGAACUAUAAACUCCAGGGCAAAGAACACAGCUUUUUUGAUCAACAAUGUAUAUUUAACGUCCAAGCUUAAUGACUGAAGAAAGUAAACUCCCUAAAAACAUAAGUUUUUUUUUAAUGAAUCAAAAGAAAAGGAAAAAGAAAAAGAUAUUUAGAAAGGACCCAUAGUUUGUCAUCUGAAUGCAGCAGACAUUUAAAAUGGACUCUAUCUUUUCAAGAAUAUGAAAUCUACUGACCCCUUUCAAGGGGUUCCCCCACCUUUCAUUGCCUCCCUCAGCAGAGGGGUUGCUGGAUGCCAUUACUCAGGGAAACAGUUUUGAUUCCUUCCUGAUCGCCUAUUAUCUCUCUUGUUUUAUUGAACCAGGGUCUCUCUGCACCCUGGCAGAAGCUGGCAAUUCAUCAGGAUACCAUUUAGGGAAUCACUGUGAUGCUUAGUUUACAGUCCACAAGGCAGCUACUGGGAGAAUCUGGAUCAAUGUGUUUUAUGCCUCUGAAAUUUGGGCAGCAAAGAAAGAGUGCUUCAGUUAUAAACAUGCAAUGUCCAUAGUUCUCAUCAUCCUUCUGAACAAGCAGAAGCUCCCCUUUUCUGAACCCAAAUGGAGCAAUCCAAUUACAAAGUCAUUAAAUCCCGUUAUAAGGUGGUUCAUAGGAGUUCCUGUUUCCAGCAAAAGCCUUUUCUGUGUUCAUCCAACAUAUAUUCUGGCCUCUUGCACUCAGUUUACAAGGUUUCUAAUUAAGCUCCAGAGAGGAUGAUAUAGUUCACUGAACUGAGUCACUAUGCUACAACUGGGAAAGAAGAGGCAUUCCUAUUUUAUCAGAAAAAUAAACACUUUAGUUUCAUUUCCUCUGCCACACAUGUUAUCUCUUUGUGCUGUCACAACAUUUUUUAUAGGUUUUUAUUUCAAAGGAUUACCUUGAGAUUACUGUCAACGCAAGCCAGAGAGACAUCUCCAUACAGAAUAUAGGGGUAAUAUUUUUUCUCCUAAAACAUCCUGCUACAGACAAUAUAAUAUCAUAUAAUAUCACCGAAAUAAUCUCCCCUAUUGAGAGCAAAGAGACAGUUUUCAAUAGUACUUUGGUACAAAAUUUGAGGAAAAUAAAAUGUUUAUCAGUGACAAAAAUACAAUUUACCAGCUUGAUUUUUAAGUCAAAAAUUUAACCUUUUAAACGAUUUCAGAAGCUCCGCUAAUUUCUACUGUUCCUUGUAACAUCUGUAGGCAAAAUACAACAUGCUGGGUCAUAAUUCAUAGCUUGGCAAGAAAAUGUUGCUUAAAAACAUAAAGGUCCUUUUCUUUUUAUGCAGAGGAAAACAUUUUAGUUAUUAUUCAACUCAAGUAAAUGCUCAUAACCAUGGAAUUAAAUAUUUCUGAAGGGUUCAUUCCUGAGCUUUCUUCUGGGUUGAAUUAGGCUUUCUCAGAACUAUACUUCAUGUCACCCACAUGUCUUAAGAACUGGUGCCUUCUGCUCAGCUGUGCAUUUUUUUGCAGACAUGCCGGAUAUCUACGCAGUAAGUGCUCUGAAACUUCAAAGAGACACAGAGCAUUCUGUGCUUUCUCUUCCCACCAUUCCAUGUAAACACCAUGAAUAACCAGACCAUUCUUAUGCCAAAAGGCCCUGAUGGCUUGACUUUUUGGUCCGUUAAUUGUUCACAAUCACUCCUUGCCUGUAUUGUGCUUGGUAGGACCACCUUUCUGCAGCCAAAAUCCAGCCACUUACCACUGCAUAUACUUCCUACAGCAGAAUAGAUACUGACCAAAGCCUAGUAGAAACCUGCAUGGCAUCCUGUCUCUUAAUACUUAAUGCUACCAUGCCCUCAGAGUAUUCUUAUUCAGAAUCUAAACAAGCAUGUAUUCAGAGGCUACAAUGUAUCAGGCAUUGGUGGUGUUAGCAGUCAUAGUUCAGUGAAUGGGAAGAAAGAUAAAAAUCCAUGCCUCCCAGUGACUUUAAGUCCUGGUAGGGACAAAUACAGAAGAUAAGUAAAUAAACAAGAUAACUGUAGAUAGUAAUAGGCUCUGUAGGCAAUAAACCUCAGGAUAAUGUGAUAGAGAAUGACUUGGGGAUUGGUAAUACCCAGAUGGGGAGCUGGAACACCGUCCAGGGCAGAUGGCAUUUGAACUGAAACCUGAAGGAAAAAAGAAUCUGGACAGCCUCAACACCAGAUCAAACAGUUUUUGAAACAUAGAAAACAAGAACAAAGCCCCCAGUGGGUGAGAGGAACUGAAGAAGCCUAGUAGGAUGGAAGUAUAAUGAUACUCAUACACUGGAGAAUAUUGCUAAGCG